rnacentral:rRNA from 1 species
AUUGAACGCUGGCGGCAGGCUUAACACAUGCAAGUCGAGCGGAGAUGAGGUGCUUGCACCUUAUCUUAGCGGCGGACGGGUGAGUAAUGCUUAGGAAUCUGCCUAUUAGUGGGGGACAACAUUCCGAAAGGAAUGCUAAUACCGCAUACGCCCUACGGGGGAAAGCAGGGGAUCUUCGGACCUUGCGCUAAUAGAUGAGCCUAAGUCGGAUUAGCUAGUUGGGGGGGUAAAGGCCUACCAAGGCGACGAUCUGUAGCGGGUCUGAGAGGAUGAGCCGCCACACUGGGACUGAGACACGGCCCAGACUCCUACGGGAGGCAGCAGUGGGGAAUAUUGGACAAUGGGCGGAAGCCUGAUCCAGCCAUGCCGCGUGUGUGAAGAAGGCCUUUUGGUUGUAAAGCACUUUAAGCGAGGAGGAGGCUACCUGGAUUAAUACUCUAGGAUAGUGGACGUUACUCGCAGAAUAAGCACCGGCUAACUCUGUGCCAGCAGCCGCGGUAACAC